GUCCACGCCGUAAACGAUGAGUACUAGCUGUAUGGGGUAUCGACUCCCUGUGUAGCGAAGCUAACGCGAUAAGUACUCCGCCUGGGGACUACGACCGCAAGGUUAAACUCAAAGGAAUUGACGGGGCCCGCACAAGCAGCGGAGCGUGCGGUUUAAUUCGAAGCUACGCGAAAACCUUACCAGGGUUUGACAUGGCGUUGACCGCCGAUGAAAGUCGGCUUCCCUUCGGGGCGGCGUCACAGAUGCUGCAUGGCUGUCGU
rnacentral:rRNA from 1 species